UGCCUAGUAGCCAAGUGGUAAGGCAAAAGACUCUGACUCUUUUAUUUCGUGGGUUCGAAUCCUACCUAGGCAA
rfam:Mycoplasma sp. CAG:611 genomic scaffold, scf7